ACGAACCUGCGAAGGCAAGCGGAUCUCUUAAAGCCGUUCUCAGUUCGGACUGUAGGCUGCAACUCGCCUACACGAAGCUGGAAUCGCUAGUAAUCGCGGAUCAGCACGCCGCGGUGAAUACGUUCCCGGGCCUUGUACACACCGCCCGUCACACCAUGAGAGUCUGUAACACCCAAGGCCGGUGGGAUAACCUUUAUAGGAGUCAGCCGUCUAAGGUAGGACAGAUGAUUAGGGUGAAGUCGUAACAAGGUAAC
rnacentral:rRNA from 1 species